rnacentral:misc_RNA from 1 species
AUGAGUAACACAGUUAUCUACGUCAUUUUCAUAUUUGUUCCCCUUUCCGGAGUGUUUUGUCAGUUUUCUAAUUGCGACGCGUUGGGUUUUGGCUUGGAUUCCCAAAACCCAUCUGAAUGUUGCACGUCGGAAGCUUUUGAUUAUUUGAAUAGAAACUAUAAAUGGAAGUACACACUUAAUGAAACACGAUCAUUGUAUAUUGCUGAACUGAGAUCUCUCAGGACUUUGUGAAAACAGCAGUACUUUUCUCUCUACAACAGAAAAACUGACGACAAGUUUCACAACUACAGAAACCUCUAUUACAGACUUGGACUCCACAACUGCUGAAACCACGAGUGUACCUACAACAACAACAUCUAUUCAAUGUGGAGUAUUGGCAAACACAUCAUGCUGUAAUCUCAAAGUGACUGAAUGCUUGUCGAAACAAUAUGAGGAUUGGCGAAAUGUCACUUUAAUUAAAGGAUAUGAACGAGAACUGGAGAAAUGUGAUUGCGUAUUGACAUCAAGCAGUACUGAAACGGAAAUCGCUUCAACCACUUCCUUGCCAACAACAACAUCUCCAAGUUUGAACUGUUAUUGGCUCUCCGAACCAUCUAAUUUUUCCGAGUGGAUAGAUGGAAAACAAACAAACUUAAGAUAUAAUGGGGGAUGCUGCUCUGAAACUUCAAUUCAAGUUUUGAAUAGCAGUGAUAGUACUAGGUGGAUUCUUACCACAUCCGAUUCUUGGAACAAGGCAAACGCUUUGAUAAACCUGCUAUAUUGUACUCCGAAUGCCUGCCCCCAGCAGUCUAUGCUUUGGACUAACUGCUCAAAUUUAUCAACAACCACUUCAAGUUCUACCAUGUUAUCUUCUACAACAUUGCUUACAACAGAGACGGAAACACGUGAAUCAUCAUCUACUGGCUCAACUCAAACGACAACUCCAUCUACAGAACCAUCUACUACAAUCACAACUCCAAUGGAGCAAAGUUCUACAGUUUCAUCGGUCCAGAAAACUAGAACAUCUGAAGACAAACCCAGUAGCUCAACAACAGUGCCCACAUCUGCAUCGACAUCUGAAUCAUCUACGUCCUCUCCAAUGGCUGAGACGUCCAGCUCUUCUACCACGUCUCAAUCAUCUCCGGCAUCAACAUCCACUGUUCCAGAGAGUUCUACAGUCGGCAGCACUCCCACGACAGGAUUGACAACUCUUUCCACAAAUGAGCAGAGUACUUCGACAUCAUCAGGAGGACAUUCAACCUCCACUUUUGGCACAACAUCUGAGACUCCUGAGACAUCAACGGAUUUUACAGCAACCUCAACAUCUUCUAGCUCAGAUUCAAGUACACAAUCAUCCAAUGCCCAAACUUCGACUAUUGAGAACGGUUCUACUACAACUAAUUUCACGUCAGCUCCAAGUACUAGCUCAACACCAGCGACUCCAACGACCACCUACAACUGGCCAACUGGAGGAACUACGUGGAUGCUCCCAUCUGGAGAAAUUGUUCUCUCGGAAUCUCUAAUUGCGUAUCCAAACUGUACCACAGUUCUUAUGCAAUUGAUCUACAAUCCAAGAACCAAAGAAACUAGAACAGAAAUAACAAGCGAUGCAGAAGGAUGUAAGAAAACAUCUUCGACACCAACGCCCUCAUCAACUUCGGUGCACUCAACAACUGCAACUCCUUCUACUACCCCAGGAACCACAACCUAUAACUGGCCAACUGGCGGAACUACUCGGAUGCUUCCAUCAGGAGAAAUUAUUCUUUCCGAGUCUUUGAUAGCCUAUCCUAACUGUACUACAGUUCUUAUGCAAUUGAUCUACAAUCCAAGUACAAAAGAAACUAGGACAGAGACUACAACUGAUGCCGAUGGAUGUAAGAAGACGUCUUCUACUUCAUCUUCUACGCCCUCGUUAAAACAUUCAACAACUCCGACUCCUACCCCAGGAACCACGACCUACAACUGGCCCACUGGCGGAACUACUCGGAUGCUUCCAUCUGGAGAAAUUAUUCUGUCGGAGUCUCUAAUAGCUUAUCCAAAUUGUACGACGGUUCUCAUGCAACUCAUCUACACUCCAAGCACCAAUAAAACCAGGACAGAGACCACUACGGAUACAGAAGGAUGUAAGAAAACGUCUACGAUCUCUUCAUCUUCGUCAAAGUUUUCAAUAACUCCAACACCUACUCCUUCUUCCGGCACCACCACUUACAAUUGGCCAACUGGUGGAACGACGAGGACGCUUCCAUCUGGAGAAAUUAUUCUUUCGGAGUCUCUCAUAGCCUUCCAAAACUGUACGACAGUUCUUAUGCAAUUGAUCUACAAUCCGAGUACUAAUAAAACCCGAACAGAGACUACAACUGAUGCAGAAGGAUGUAAAAAAACGUCCUCCACCUCAAAAAUCUCCACAACUCCAACAUCACCCACUUCUUCAAAACCAACUCCUACAUCUACUUCCAUGACUACAACCUACAACUGGCCAACUGGUGGAACUACUCGUACGCUUCCAUCUGGAGAAAUUAUUUUAUCAGAGUCAUUGAUUGCUUAUAAAAACUGCACAACAGUUCUUAUGCAGUUGAUCUACAAUCCUAGUACCAAUAAAACUAGAACAGAGACCACAACCGAUGCUCAAGGAUGUAAGGCAACUUCAUCGACUUCAUUAAAGCCCACAUCUCCUUCAUCUUCAACUGCUUCUCCUCCAACUACCACUUACAACUGGCCAACUGGGGGAACUACUAGAACUCUCCCAUCUGGUGAAAUUAUUCUAUCUGAGUCACUAAUUGCCUACAAAAACUGUACCACAGUUUUGAUGCAAUUAAUCUACAACCCAUCAACUAACAAGACUAGAACGGAAACUACCACUGACGCGCAGGGAUGUAAGGCAACAAUCACAACACCAACCCCAAUAACAACAACAUACAAUUGGCCAACAGGUGGGACAACCAGGACUCUUCCGUCUGGAGAAAUUAUCCUCUCCGAAUCGCUGAUUGCUUACAAAAACUGCACUACCGUUCUAAUGCAAUUGAUCUACAACCCAAGCACAAAUAAGACUAGGACUGAAACCACCAGUGACGCUCAAGGAUGUAAAGCAACCUCAACUACACAAACACCAACCACAUUCAACUGGCCAACUGGAGGAACCACUCGAACACUGCCAUCUGGAGAAAUUAUUCUGUCGGAAUCCUUGAUUGCGUAUAAGAAUUGUACAACUGUGCUAAUGCAAUUGAUCUACAACCCUAGCAAAAACACGACUCGAACUGAAACAACAAGUGAUGCGGAAGGAUGUAAAGCCACUUCCAGUGGAACGACAUCAACAAUGUCUCCCGGAACAACAGGAGGAACCACUGUUUCGAGAACAACUAACUCAAACAAUCCAAUCGAUUCAUCCACUCUCGAAACCACAACUUUCGCCUGGCCAACUGGUGGAACUACUCGGAUGCUUCCCUCUGGAGAAAUUAUCAUAUCCGAAUCCUUGACUGCAUUCCCGAAUUGCACUACUGUUCUGAAACAAUUGGUCUACAAUCCAACAACCAAUACGACUAGAACUGAUACUAUUUCCGAUUCUGAAGGAUGUAAAGCAACAUCAACUGCCAAGCCAACAACUGUAAUCUCAUCCACUGCUACAUGCUCCUCCCUCAACCUAAAUCUCAACUCAACAACCCGCCCGACGUCGUCCGAGAUUAAAGAUUCCUAUUCAGUUGGAGAAAAGAUAUAUCACAUUUGUGAAAAAGACUAUUCAUUUGAAAUUGCUCUGCAGCCUCUGAAAAUAUAUCAAUGCUUGAAUGGUGGAGCAUGGUCAGGAACACCGGAAAAGUGUGUUGCCACCGGCAAAUCAGAGCUCUGAGA